GAAUUCGCCCUUUCCGGUUGAUCCUGCCGGACCCGACUGCUAUCGGAUUGGGAUUUAGCCAUGUUAGUUGUGCGUUCCUUGGCUACAGGGGACGCAGCGUACGGCUCAGUAACACGUAGUCAACCUGCCCUGGAGACGUGGACAAACCCGGGAAACUGGGGCCUAUCCGCGAUAGAUGACCUCAUCUGGAAGGAGUGGUCGUCCAAAGGGCGGCACGGGUAUGCUCCGUGCCUUUCGCUCCAGGAUGGGACUGCGGCCGAUCAGGCUGUUGGCGGGGUAAUGGCCCACCAAACCUGUAACCGGUACGGGCUUUGAGAGAAGGAGCCCGGAGAUGGACACUGAGACAAGGGUCCAGGCCCUACGGGGCGCAUCAGGCGCGAAAACUUCGCAAUGCGCGAAAGCGUGACGAGGCUAGUCCGAGUGCUUCCUGCUAAAGGGAGCUUUUCUCGGCUGUAAAUAGGCCGGGGAAUAAGGGGAGGGCAAGUCUGGUGUCAGCCGCCGCGGUAAUACCAGCUCCUCGAGUGGUCGGGACGAUUAUUGGGCCUAAAGCACCCGUAGCCGGUUCCGUAAGUCCUCUGUUAAAUCCAAUUGCUCAACGGUUGGCCUGCAGAGGAUACUGCGAGACUAGGAGGCGGGAGAGGCGGACGGCACUCCGCGUGUAGGGGUAAAAUCCUUUGAUCCGCGGAAGACCACCAGUGGCGAAGGCGGUCCGCCAGAACGCGCUCGACGGUGAGGGGUGAAAGCUGGGGGAGCGAACCGGAUUAGAUAUGGAGCUGAAAAAACUCCACUAAAGACCCGGGUAGUCCCAGCCGUAAACGAUGCGAGCUAGAUGAUCCAGUCGCAAAUUGCGAUUGGAGUGUCGCAGGGAAGCCGUUAAGCUCGCCGCCUGGGGAGUACGGUCGCAAGACUGAAUCUAUGAGCCUUCUGGCUCAUGGCAGUUUACUUAAAGGAAUUGGCGGGGGAGCACCACAAGGGGUGAAGCCUGCGGUUCAAUUGGAGUCAACGCCAGGAAACUUACCAGGAGAGACAGCAGAUUGAGGGUCAGACUGAAGAUCUUACCUGACGAGCUGAGAGGAGGUGCAUGGCCGUCGCCAGCUCGUGCCGUGAGGCGUCCUGUUAAGUCAGGCAACGAGCGAGACCCAAAGGGCGA
rnacentral:rRNA from 2 species